GAUGAACGCUGGCGGCGUGCCUAACACAUGCAAGUCGAGCGAACAGACGAGGAGCUUGCUCCUCUGACGUUAGCGGCGGACGGGUGAGUAACACGUGGAUACCCUACCUAUAAGACUGGGAUAACUUCGGGAAACCGGAGCUAAUACCGGAUAAUAUAUUGAACCGCAUGGUUCAAUAGUGAAAGACGGUUUUGCUGUCACUUAUCGAUGGAUCCGAGCCGCAUUAGCUAGUUGGUAAGGUAACGGCUUACCAAGGCGACUAUGCGUAGCCGACCUGACAGGGUGAUCGGCCACACUGGAACUGAGACGCGGUCCAGACUCCUACGGGAGGCAGCAGUAGGGAAUCUUCCGCAAUGGGCGAAAGCCUGACAGAGCAACGCCGCGUGAGUGAUGAAGGUCUUCGGAUCGUAAAGCUCUGUUAUUAGGGAAGAACAAAUGUGUAAGUAACUAUGCACGUCUUGACGGUACCUAGUCAGGAAGCCACGGCUAACUACGUG
rnacentral:rRNA from 1 species